CGGAGGGAUCAUUACACAACAAAAUAUGAAGGCCUGGCUUUCGCGGCCGGCUGAAGUAUUUUUUUCACCCAUGUCUUUUGCGCACUUGUUGUUUCCUGGGCGGGUUCGCCCGCCACCAGGACCAAACCAUAAACCUUUUUUUCUUAUGCAGUUUCCAUCAGCGUCAGUAAAAACAAUGUAAUUAUUACAACUUUCAACAACGGAUCUCUUGGUUCUGGCAUCGAUGAAGAACGCAGCGAAAUGCGAUACGUAGUGUGAAUUGCAGAAUUCAGUGAAUCAUCGAAUCUUUGAACGCACAUUGCGCCCUUUGGUAUUCCAAAGGGCAUGCCUGUUCGAGCGUCAUUUGUACCUUCAAGCUUUGCUUGGUGUUGGGCGUUUUUUUGUCUCCCUCUUUCUGGGAGACUCGCCUUAAAACGAUUGGCAGCCGGCCUACUGGUUUCGGAGCGCAGCACAUUUUUUGCGCUUUGUAUCAGGAGAAAAGGACGGUACUCCAUCAAGACUCUACAUUUUUCACUUUUGACCUCGGAUCAGGUAGGGAUACCCGCUGAACUUAAGCAUAUCAAUAA
rnacentral:rRNA from 1 species